rnacentral:rRNA from 1 species
UACGAAGGGGGCUAGCGUUGCUCGGAAUCACUGGGCGUAAAGGGUGCGUAGGCGGGUCUUUAAGUCAGGGUGAAUCCUGGAGCUCAACUCCAGAACUGCCUUUGAUACUGAAGAUCUUGAGUUCGGGAGAGGUGAGUGGAACUGCGAGUGUAGAGGUGAAAUUCGUAGAUAUUCGGCAAGAACACCAGUGGCGAAGGCGGCUCACUGGCCCGAUACUGACGCUGAUGCACGAAAGCGUGGGGAGCAAACAGG